AUGAUUUUUUUCUCUCAUCCCAGUUCAGCACAAGGAAAAAAGAGAAUUGAAGUAAAAUAUUAUUAUUCUUCACCUUGUCUUGCUGCCUUUCUGCCUCUACUGCUUUCAUACUUUCAGGAAGUGCACCUAGCAGAAGCCUACCUGGGAAGGACGUACCAGAAGAUUUGUGUCUGGAGACCCCCUUCAUUGUUUGCUACAAGAGAUGUCCGGGAGUUAUGAGGUGGGAAAGCAUCUCUCUCACACAUCCCUAGGUUUUCCACUUCAUUUAUUCCGGUCUAGAAGAAAAGAACAGCAAAAGGACGACCAGGAUGUGAAUGAGAGAGCUCACCCUUCCUCAUUUGCGGGGCCCGGCCCAUAAAACUAAAGCAAGGAUGCGAUGAGUGGCUAAAGAGGAAGAUUUUCCCUCUCUCUCUCUUUCUCUCCCAGGACCCAGCCAAUGAGAUUGUGUCAACAUGAUAUUCAAAACUAGGAGGCACAGAGGUGAACAGGGGCUGCCUGCCUGGGCCCGACAAACAGCACUGGGGUUGACGAAGCACUUCUCUCUUUUCCUGGUCCAAAGAGCAGAUCACAUGACCAAUGAGACCUUUUCCAUCUAUCUGGCCCUGGAAGCCAUAGCGCUUGCUGCUUCUAAAAGAUCACCAGGAGAAGAGUGUUGAGCCUACAAGACAACAGUGAGGAGAUAAUCAGACAGAAGAGGAACUCUGUCUUUCUCUUCCCACCCCCCAGCUCUCCCUGAAAUAAAAGGACUGUAGUAAAAUGGUGUCCAGCAGAGCCAAAGAGUGAGAGUGAGGAGCUGCCCCCCUGAACCUGCUUGACAGGGGUGAGUAGAACCCCACAUUGUGUAUCUGUUCUCAGACAACAGAUGAUAGUACAAGAUCAGAUUGAGAAUUUUCUGUCUCCACAAUCAAGGAGCAAGCCUGCUGCUGGCUGCUGCAAAAAGAUAGCAAAGGGGAAGUAGGAACUUAAGUUUCAUUUUUCUUUCCCUGCCCAGCAGAGAGAUGACUGGUAUACGUGUUCAGGGAGGAUUUUCUCCUUUGCAAGGGCAGACCAAAAAGACUACAGGAAGGAGUUAAUGGGCUGCAAGAGGAAGAUUUUCUUUCUCCUCUUUCCUUCCCUUCAACUUCAUGACUUAAUAUUUCCCCAUCUUUUUUUCACAAACUUCUUAUUUGUAUCAUUUUGAAAGAACAAGAUACUUCAAGAACUGAAUCUCUUACAUAUGACAAAUUCUAGCAUUAACUGAAUUCUUGUUUAAGCUAUGGAAUAACUACAAAUUCAGUUCCAAACAACUAGGUCUUGCCACUUGCAGCUUAUUACGGUAAUUCGGAUGCUUUAAUAUUAAUCUCAUAAUCUAAUAGAUCCAUUGUUACAAUGGCAAACUUUUACUUUGUCUACCCAGAAAAUAGAAAUGUGCUAUGAAUUUUAGAAGCAGACAUGUGGUUAUAACAGCUUCAGCAGUGGUUUUAAGACCUACACCACUAUAAGUAGCCUAGUAGGUGGACAGAUUUCUUGCAUGGCAAAAUGAAUUAAGAAGAGUCCAACCUUAGUAUUUGCAAGGUAACCUCUCUACCUUAUGCCCUGGGAUAAAUAUUCACUAGCUUUAGAUCUCACUGACUGCUGGUGUUUUUCAUAAAACACCCAUUUAAGAUUGGUCCAAGGACACAGCAAACCUAAAAAUGAAAUUCAGAAAGAAUUUCUCCUCAAAAAGUAAAGUCUCAGCAAUUACAGUAGGUCUGGACACAAUUGUUAUCAAUAAAAUCACAUUACUGCAAUAAAUUGGUUUGCAAGUGAAAUUUAUCAGCCCUUCUUAAAAUCAUAUAAAAGAUCUUUACCUAAACAUGUACACAAGAUUUUUACUUAAGCAUUUCUUCCUAAAAGUGUUUCUUUCUUAAAAACUAGCUCAAAUUUUAUCCUGAUGUUCAAAUGAUAAUCACAAAACAAAAUGAAGUAAAUUAGCUGUAAACUUCUAAACUAAGAUCUCUCUUAUUCAACCUUAAAAUAAAAAUAAAUCUUGAAAAUUGGAAUUUUUCAAAACUAAGUUGGUAUAAAAUGGCUUUGAGUAUCAUAAAUGAAUCCCCAAAGUACAAUAAAAAAAAAUCAUCACAAAUUCCUAAAUAGCACCCUCCUUGAGUCAAAAGGUAUUUGUAACGGGGAGGAUAUUCAGGUUUUUUAAAGCCAAAAAUGAUUAAAUUAGCAAAGUUUACCUUUAAAAUUUUACUUACUAACUUUUUCUUCCUUUUGUCAUCUCCUAAAGUACAAAUUAAUUCAAGCUGAUACAAAAUAUCACUAGAAUUUAGGAAAAUGGUUGUAUUUUGGAAUCCUACAUAGUGAAUAUGUGAUAAUUCACUUUAACCCCCAGAAAAAACAACACUGGCCAGUUGCUAUAAACCUCCAGAUUAGCAUACACACACACACACACACACACACACACACACACAUUCCCCUAUUAGAUGAAACUUACUCUGUAUCAUAAGCAGACUUGAAAAUGACAUCCCCACAUCCUCCAACUAUUAUUUAUAUCCCAUUUAUUCAGUAGAAAUUCCAUAACACAGAAAACUCUUACACAGGGUUGAUAAGAAUUUGAGACUAGAUGUUCCAAGAAUCCUUGUAAGUUUAUAAAGGAGGCUUUCACAAAGUAUUUUCUUUGUCCAUUUACCAAUUUUCUCUUUUAAAAAAUACAUAUGGAAAUACUUGAUAUAUUUUUAACUAGAUUUUUUGAAAUUAUUGUCAUAAUGUUAACAAUCUCAUAAUUUUCCUAAGUGAUAGCUAAAUGAUUUUAGGUAAACCUUCCUUUUAAAUACAGGCAAAACUCGGAAGUUUAAGUUCUUGAUUAUGUUGCUUCAAAAUAUUACGGCACAGGUUCUGCAGGACUGAUUAAAUGAUCUGACGGUUUUCAAACUCUAGCCUUCUUUUAACAGUACAAUCUCUAGUCUAACAACAUCCAAAGGUCUAAAAGAAAUUACUUUUCUAACUGCAUCUGAUACAAUCAUUUGCCAAAUUUCCAUAGUAUAAAUAUUGAGGAGCCGUAAUCAGGAUUACCCAGGACUUAGCAACUUCCAUAUUAAAAGACCAGAGAGCCUAGAACUACCCAACAAAACUAAGCAUUAUCAUUCGGGGUGGGGGAGAGAAGGAUGGACGAUCAAUGAAAUAGAGAAUUUUCAAUCAUUUCUAAUGAAAAGAAAAUUUGAUCUUGAAAUAUGUGACUCAAGAGAAUCAUAAGAAAGUAAAAAGGGAAGGGAAGAAAAAUGGUUUUUAAAGGUUAAAAUGUUUAUUUCCCUACAUGGGAAGAUGAUAUUUGUAAUUCUUGAGAACUGUAUUUUGUCAAGGCAGUUAGAAGAGGUAUAUACUUAGAGGGUGUAACUAUAAGUUACAAGGAAUUAGAGGUAGAAAGGAUUGUAUUGGGAGAAGAGGAAGGGAGAUGUAAAAUAGGAUAAAUUAUAUCACACGAAGAGGCACAAAAAAUCUAUUACAGUAGAGGGAAAGAAGGGGGGGAGUGAAAAUUGUUUGAACAUUAUCAUCAUUGGAUUUAGCAAAAAGGGAAUAACAUAUGCACCCAGUUGGGUAUAGAUAUCUUUUUUUUUACCCUAUAGGGAAGGAGGAGAUGAAGGGGGGAAAGGGGGUGGGGCUUAUAGAAGGGAGGGCAAAUGAAUGGAGGCAGUGGUGAGAAGGAAAACACAGGUGAGAAGGGACAGGGUAAAAGAAGAGAGAAAAGUAUAAACGGAGAAAAUACACAGUGAAUGAUUGUGACUAUGAAUGAGAUGACAUCUCCCCCCAAAAAAAUUAAAAACAAAAAUAAAAACCAGAACAUCUCCCUUUGAAGUAGACAUAUACACACAUGCACACACAAGAUAACAAACUGAAACAUUAUAUUAUGCUUCAGCUGAAAUUAAAAAAAGCAAGGGAAGCAGUUAUGAUCUCAGGCAAAGCAAAAACAAAAAAUAGAUCUAAUUAAAAGAGACAAGGAAAGAAACUCUUUCUAAAAAGCCCAACAGGCCAGGGCUUUUAAAACUUUUUCUACUCUUGAUCCCCUUUCACCUGAGAAAUUUUUACAUGGCAUAUAUAAAAUAGGUAUACAGAUCAAACAUUUACUGAUAGUAAGCCAUAAUUUCAUGACACUCCCCCCCAUUCAGUUACAAGACCCCACACGGAGUCUUAUAAAGGGGAGGUAAAAUGAAGUAAAUUACAACACAUGAAGAAACACAAAAGACCUGCUACAGUAGAGGAAAAGGGAAAGGAAGGAGCAUUGUUUGAACUUUACUCUCAUUGGAUUUGUCUCAGAGAGAAUAAAAAACAAGAAAAAAUUUAGCCUAGAAGCUCUCAAAAAGGUAAGGUUUGUUUUCUUUUGUAACAGCUCCUGGCCUCAGUAUACCCUGGAGGAUCUGGAGAUAUGGGGCUCUAAACUAGUAAUACUAACUUAACCAUUUGAUCUAUUUUGCUGCCUAGAAAGCAAAUGGACUGAUUGAAGUUCUAUACAUCCAGGCCUUCAAGGCCUUAUGUCAAGAUCCUAAUUCAAGACAACAGUGUAGGAUGUUCCUGGUUAAGUUUAGUACAAGGGAAUUGAAGAUGGAGAAUGAGACUGACCUAGAUAAUUCUCUACUCUCCCCCAUUCAGGGGAUGCCCCCCCUCGCCCUACCAGGAGACCUGGGACCAUCUCCCAUAUCAGGAUCUGGACUCUGUUCAACAAUAUUUCCCCCACUGCCCAGUCCUCUUCCUGUGGGUCCCUCGCAUGCUGAGCCAGAUUUUACAACCUCCCAGUCUCUGCCAUAUAAAGGAGUGGGACCCCUUUUCUUCCUUCUGAAGACCCUGACUUAGACAUCCCUUUUAAACUCUGCCCAUUGAGAGAAGUAGCAGACUCUCAGGGUUAAACACUCAGGGUACAUGUCCCUUUUUCAAUGCCAGAUCUUUCCCAAAUUAAAAACUUGAGCAUUAUUCUGAAGGUUCCACUAAGUUUACCGAGGGCUUUAAAACCAUCUCCUUCCAAUUUGAUCUUACUUGAGGAGAUGUUAAAAUCAUUAUCUCCUCCUGCUGCACAACAGAAGAGAAAAGAGGAAUCUGGGAUUUAGCCCAAAAGUCUGGCAAUGGUAUGAACGAAUCUUCUUCUGAUAGAUAGAUACCCCCCAGGAGCUAUUGCUGUCCCAGGUGCAGACUCCAGGUGGGAUUACCAAAAGAGAAUCAGAGACCAGAAAGAAGGGAGCACAUGCUGAGCUGCUUCACUGAUACUAUGAGGAAAGGGAAUUAAGCAGCUUAAUUAUGAGAAAUUUAAGGAAGUUAACCAGAGAGCCAAGGAAAGACCUGCCUUCUUUCAGGGAUGAUUUAUAGAGGCUCUUAAGAAAUAUGCUGAGGUGGACCCCACGUUUAGGAACCAUGUCCUCAGUGUGGCCAGGAUGUCUAGAGGAAGCUGUACCAGUUUAACCAUGGGUCCUCAAAUUCUCCUGGUCCAGCUUUGGGAAAGAAGUUUGGGAUUUUUUAAUGAGAGACCAAGCUGCAGCCAAGGAAUAGGACCUCAGGAGUAGGGCUAGGAAUAGAGAACAGGCUCAGAUUUUGGCUGCCACCAUAUAUGGGACCCAGAGGAAUCUACGUGUGGAGGCUUGUUUCCCAUGCCAGAGUCGGAGCCAUUGAUCUCGAAGCUGUCCUCAAAGGAAGACUCCUGAUCCAUGCCCCUGGGAGGGGCACUGGAAAAGAGACUGCCCACAGAGGGGUCGAGCCACUUCUCGUUUCCUGCUUCUCCAUCUCCUCAGGACCAGGAAUCACAGGGCCCAGGAUUUGGCAAGGCUCCCCCUUACUUCAUCACCAUGGCCGAACCAUGGGUAAUUUUGGAUGCGGCAGAUGGAUCAAUCUAGCAGACUCCUGACUAUGAAAAGAAAACCAGAAACAGGACCCAGCCAACGAGAUUGUGUCAACAUGAUAUUCAAAACUAGGAGGCACAGAGGGAACAGGGGCUGCCUGCCUGGGCCCGACAAACAGCACUGGAGUUGACGGAGCACCUCUCUCUUUUCCUGGUCCAAAGAACAGAUCACAUGACCAAUGAGAUCUUUUCCAUCUAUCUGGCCCUAGAAGCCAUAGUGCUUGCUGCUUCUAAAAGAUCACCAGGAGAAGAGACCAAACUAGCAAAUCCACCGGGGGAGAUUCUCUCUCCCUCCCUUUGCCUUGGCUGUCAAGACUAUGAUGAGGAGAUAAGGUGAGCAUCAUGUUCUCUCUCUAUGGGUCCAUGAAUAAGAACCAAAAUGAAGAGAUAAUAUUUUAAAAAAACAUGAUCAUAUCAGAAGACAAACCAUUGAAAGGCAUUGGGAUAAUCC